rnacentral:rRNA from 1 species
AGUCACUGACAUUAGAUACCCCUGUAGUCCCAGCCGUAAACUAUGCGCGUUAGGUGUACUGGUGACCACGAGUCGACCGGGGUGCCGAAGGGAAACCGUGAAACGUGCCGCCUGGGAGUACGUCCGCAAGGAUGAAACUUAAAGGAAUUGGCGGGGGAGCACCGCAACGGGAGGAGCGUGCGGUUUAAUUGGAUUCAACACCGUAAACUCACCAGGGAAGACUGUUACAUGAAGGCCGAGAUGAAGACUCUGCUAGAUUUUCAG